rnacentral:rRNA from 1 species
GGGGGAGUACGACCGCAAGGUUGAAACUCAAAGGAAUUGACGGGGGCCCGCACAAGCGGUGGAGUAUGUGGUUUAAUUCGACGCAACGCGAAGAACCUUACCAGGUCUUGACAUUGAUGGACAGAACCAGAGAUGGUUCCUCUUCUUCGGAAGCCAGAAAACAGGUGGUGCACGGUUGUCGUCAGCUCGUGUCGUGAGAUGUUGGGUUAAGUCCCGCAACGAGCGCAACCCCUAUCUUAUGUUGCCAGCACUUUGGGUGGGGACUCAUGAGAGACUGCCGCAGACAAUGCGGAGGAAGGCGGGGAUGACGUCAAAUCAUCAUGCCCCUUAUGACCUGGGCUACACACGUACUACAAUGGGAGUUAAUAGACGGAAGCGAGAUCGCGAGAUGGAGCAAACCCGAGAAACACUCUCUCAGUUCGGAUCGUAGGCUGCAACUCGCCUACGUGAAGUCGGAAUCGCUAGUAAUCGCAGGUCAGCAUACUGCGGUGAAUACGUUCCCGGGCCUUGUAC